CUCUCACCUCUUACUACAGAAGCAGCCUCCACUCCCUCCCCUAUGAGUCUUUCUGUGUUUUGUAUCAAAAUCCACUGUAAUUGAUAGCUUUGAUGAAACUCUUUGUGUCCAGAGUCGGAGCUCUUGAGCACCUUCUAUGACGGUCACAAACCUCUAAGAAGUUCUGAGCUGUCUCCUUCUCCCACCCUUUUCUAUUUUCUCUCAUUUGUUGUUGUAAUUUUCAUGUUUUAGCCAAAAAAAAUUGUUGUGAACAGAAGAAAGCGAGGUGACGAUAGAAAUUCAUGUCUGUCAAUCCACUGACUGUAACAGUGUGAUGUUACUGUGAAUCCCGACAGGUUCUGAUCGCUUUCUCACUUCUAAUUUCAUUCACUCUCACACACACUGUUUUGAAUUGGAUCGUAUGCUAAUUCUUGAUAAUUCUGGAUUAUUUGAUGUUUUUAUUU
rnacentral:lncRNA from 1 species